AAACGGGAAGGAAACUGGAUUAGGCGUGUUUUGGGGAAGGGUAUAGGGACGACUUGUCAUCCUCAUAUCUUUCUACAACUUAAAUUAAGAGAACAACCUCCUUUGUUUCGUUAACGCACACUCAAUCACUCAAUCAUUAGUCUCUAUCUAUCUCUCUCACUCUCGAUCGGAGAUUCUCCCUUCCUUAAUCUCAACCAUUAUCUUCUCCUCUGGCGACUUCCUCACCUCCCACUCCCCGUGCAUCUUCUUCUCUCUCCUUGGAUUCUCAUGCUAGUUGUCGAAUACCACCAUUAGGCUAAUCAAUUUCGAUUAGUUUCAACGCCGCUGAUUUUGACUAUCAGCUUCCUUUUUACAUCCAAUUACGAUUACUAUUAAAUACAAGCCCUACACCGGCUACCAUGUUAGUAAUUCUCUGUUUGAACCUAUAAUUGAGGUAUAUGUUAGCAAUUAUGUAAUUGAAACUGGAAUUGGGAUAUAAGUUAACGAUGAUGACGACGAAAAACUCAAAUUCGAUAGAGAUAUGGUUUUUGCGCAAUUCCUGUAUGCAUACUUGUUUAUUAUGCUUUUGAAUUGCACAAUUGUGGUGUGUGUAAGACUGGAGAUGCAAUGGCAAAGGCUAUGUGGCUUAUCGCAAUUUUAUUACAAGGCUGGAGAAUCGAAUGAAGUUGCAGCCACAGCCACCUAAGUAGUCCUGGAACCAGAUGGCCGUUUCAUUAUGGGGAGGGUUGACUGCAUUGAAGAAGUUGACCUGUGUAGAAGGUAAGAAACCCUAAACCUUAAGCCCUAAUUUUGAUGAAUACAAUGUUUUAAAGAUAUAUCAUACAAGGUUAUCAGGAACCACAUAUAAGUUUAUCCAUUUAUUCGGAUAUUCCGAAAGGGCAGUGAUGUUAGGUAUGUGUAAUUUCUUAUAUUCUACUCUCUGUUUUGAAUCUAAGUUAGUAGAUUAUAUUUCUCUUUACCGAUUUUUUUUUUCUCAAAAAUAAAUCAGGGAUGAAAAUGGGCACCAUGAGCAUGAAUCACAAAACAUGAUAAUUGUAUUUUAAUGUUUUAAACAAAUUUUUUUUUUUCACUACAUUUGAAGCUUCAAGGCGAAAAGACUGGACGCAAGGGUCAUUUAUCUAUUGAAAGAUUUUUGAAGUGGCACCUUCAUUGCAAAUGGUUAAGGUUCGAAAAAGCAGGAGGAGAUACAUUAGAAUUUCACAAGUUUUACAAGAACCUUUGAUGUAGACAAUGGAAUAAUUGGUUGCACCUAUUGCAAUGGAUUCACAUCUGGCCUUGGAGGGUAAAUCUGGAAAAACUGAAGAAAAUGCAAAAAGGCCUGCACCAUCAGAAGUAGGAUGUAGAAUUGAGUCAAGAAGAUUUUGACUUUACAUUGCAUCAUCUUCACUGGAUAAAACUUUGAGAGUGUGGGAUAUACCAAAAGGCCUUUGCAUUCGAGUAAUUUACGGAGUUGCCCAUCAGCUAUGUAUCCGAUUUCAUCAUGUGAAUAAUAACUUCCUUUCAGUUGGCAAUGCAAACAGAUAAAUUUUGGUAUUCAAUUUUAGCACAGGAAGAUUAACAGAUAAAAUAGUUGUGGAUAGCAAGGUCAAUUUAUUUUUUGUAUUUGAGAAAACUAGAAAAGUAAACAAAAAAUAGAAGUCGAAUGUAAAUUUUAUACAAUAUCUAUAGAGACGACAUUUCGUUGCUAUAGGUCUAGCUAUGGGGACGACAUAUCGUCUCUAUAGGUCUAGCUGUGGGGGCGACGUGUCGUCUGUAUAGGUCCAGCUAUAGGAUGACAACCACGAACCAACAAAAACGAUAUUUCGUCUCUAAAAGGUAUCUAUGGUGACGAUAUCUAUAGCGACGACCCAAGCUAUCUAUUGCGAUGGGGCUAUAGCGACAAAGGCUAUAGGGGCGACUUGUCGUCACAACCACAUAUAGAGACGACUUUCUAUAACAUAUAGAGACGACAUUUGUCGUCCCUAUAGGUCUCGUUUCUUGUAGUGCUAGUUUGCGUUUGCGGUGCCCUAAUCAAAAAAUAAUAAACAUAUGUCGUCAUUUUUAGAUACUCACGAGUCACGAACAAAGAACACAUCCACUUUGUAUGAAUGUUUUCAUUUUUCAAUUUUAUUUGGAUGUUAAUGACUUUA